AUUGAACGCUGGCGGCAUGCCUUACACAUGCAAGUCGAACGGCAGCAUGGAGAGCUUGCUCUCUGAUGGCGAGUGGCGAACGGGUGAGUAAUGCGUCGGAACGUACCGUGUAAUGGGGGAUAACGUAGCGAAAGUUACGCUAAUACCGCAUACGACCUGAGGGUGAAAGCAGGGGAUCGCAAGACCUUGCGUUAUACGAGCGGCCGAUGUCAGAUUAGCUAGUUGGUGAGGUAAAGGCUCACCAAGGCGACGAUCUGUAGCGGGUCUGAGAGGAUGAUCCGCCACACUGGGACUGAGACACGGCCCAGACUCCUACGGGAGGCAGCAGUGGGGAAUUUUGGACAAUGGGGGCAACCCUGAUCCAGCCAUGCCGCGUGAGUGAAGAAGGCCUUCGGGUUGUAAAGCUCUUUUGUCAGGGAAGAAACACCGGCUCUAACACAGUCCGGGGAUGACGGUACCUGAAGAAUAAGCACCGGCUAACUACGUGCCAGCAGCCGCGGUAA
rnacentral:rRNA from 1 species